rnacentral:rRNA from 1 species
GAGUCUGAUCAUGGCUCAGAUUGAACGCUGGCGGCAGGCCUAACACAUGCAAGUCGAACGGUAACAGGAAGCAGCUUGCUGCUUCGCUGACGAGUGGCGGACGGGUGAGUAAUGUCUGGGAAGCUGCCUGAUGGAGGGGGAUAACUACUGGAAACGGUAGCUAAUACCGCAUAAUGUCGCAAGACCAAAGAGGGGGACCUUCGGGCCUCUUGCCAUCGGAUGUGCCCAGAUGGGAUUAGCUUGUUGGUGGGGUAACGGCUCACCAAGGCGACGAUCCCUAGCUGGUCUGAGAGGAUGACCAGCCACACUGGAACUGAGACACGGUCCAGACUCCUACGGGAGGCAGCAGUGGGGAAUAUUGCACAAUGGGCGCAAGCCUGAUGCAGCCAUGCCGCGUGUAUGAAGAAGGCCUUCGGGUUGUAAAGUACUUUCAGCGGGGAGGAAGGGAGUAAAGUUAAUACCUUUGCUCAUUGACGUUACCCGCAGAAGAAGCACCGGCUAACUCCGUGCCAGCAGCCGCGGUAAUACGGAGGGUGCAAGCGUUAAUCGGAAUUACUGGGCGUAAAGCGCACGCAGGCGGUUUGUUAAGUCAGAUGUGAAAUCCCCGGGCUCAACCUGGGAACUGCAUCUGAUACUGGCAAGCUUGAGUCUCGUAGAGGGGGGUAGAAUUCCAGGUGUAGCGGUGAAAUGCGUAGAGAUCUGGAGGAAUACCGGUGGCGAAGGCGGCCCCCUGGACGAAGACUGACGCUCAGGUGCGAAAGCGUGGGGAGCAAACAGGAUUAGAUACCCUGGUAGUCCACGCCGUAAACGAUGUCGACUUGGAGGUUGUGCCCUUGAGGCGUGGCUUCCGGAGCUAACGCGUUAAGUCGACCGCCUGGGGAGUACGGCCGCAAGGUUAAAACUCAAAUGAAUUGACGGGGGCCCGCACAAGCGGUGGAGCAUGUGGUUUAAUUCGAUGCAACGCGAAGAACCUUACCUGGUCUUGACAUCCACGGAAGUUUUCAGAGAUGAGAAUGUGCCUUCGGGAACCGUGAGACAGGUGCUGCAUGGCUGUCGUCAGCUCGUGUUGUGAAAUGUUGGGUUAAGUCCCGCAACGAGCGCAACCCUUAUCCUUUGUUGCCAGCGGUCCGGCCGGGAACUCAAAGGAGACUGCCAGUGAUAAACUGGAGGAAGGUGGGGAUGACGUCAAGUCAUCAUGGCCCUUACGACCAGGGCUACACACGUGCUACAAUGGCGCAUACAAAGAGAAGCGACCUCGCGAGAGCAAGCGGACCUCAUAAAGUGCCUCGUAGUCCGGAUUGGAGUCUGCAACUCGACUCCAUGAAGUCGGAAUCGCUAGUAAUCGUGGAUCAGAAUGCCACGGUGAAUACGUUCCCGGGCCUUGUACACACCGCCCGUCACACCAUGGGAGUGGGUUGCAAAAGAAGUAGGUAGCUUAACCUUCGGGAGGGCGCUUACCACUUUGUGACUCAUGACUGGGGUGAAGUCGUAACAAGGUA